GUGGGGAAUAUUGGGCAAUGGGCGCAAGCCUGACCCAGCAACGCCGCGUGAAGGAAGAAGGCUUUCGGGUUGUAAACUUCUUUUACCAGGGACGAAACAAAUGACGGUACCUGGUGAAUAAGCCACGGCUAACUACGUGCCAGCAGCCGCGGUAAUACGUAGGUGGCGAGCGUUAUCUGGAUUUAUUGGGUGUACAGGGCGUGUAGGCGGGACAGCAAGUCAGAUGUGAAAACCAGAGGCUCAACCUCUGGCCUGCAUUUGCAACUGUUGUUCUUGAGUGUCGGAGAGGUAAUCGGAAUUCCGUGUGUAGCGGUGAAAUGCGUAGAUAUACGGGGGAACACCAGUGGCGAAGGCGGAUUACUGGACGAUAACUGACGCUGAGGCGCGAAAGCGUGGGGAGCAAACAGGAUUAGAUACCCUUGUAGUCC
rnacentral:rRNA from 1 species